UGACUACAUGUUCCCGCUCCAAUUUUAUUCAACGCAUACGUGCAAUUCGAACAAUCAUCGUUAACAAAUGUAUCACAGGCAAUGGUUGCCAUGUGAAAGAAAGCAAAGCCAGCUAGGAACUUCUGGCCAGGGAACUUACGAGCAACUUGGUUAUAUCUAUUCAAAGCAAAAGACUUUAGAGAUGCUACAAAGAGUUUACAAUGAGGAUGUCGAGGAUGAUAUUCUGACCAAGAUACUGCGGAAUGCUGAUGAGGAUUAUGAGUACAAAGUGGAUCUUGACUCAGACGAUGAAAAUCUGCGACUUCUUUAGGAAAACGUCUGAAAAACAUCAACUUGGAUAAUGCUGAUGAAUUGCGGUCUGCACUAACACCAUCAGAGAGACAAGACUUUGAAGCAAUGAUCAGUAGUGGAGAGGCUUUAAAGUUACUUCCUCAGUGGAAUCCUUGGUGGAGGUACACUACUAAAGAAAAGC